rnacentral:lncRNA from 1 species
AGGUGUCUACGGACAACGCCGGCUGUUCGGCUUAGAAAUGGAGAUGAGCACCAACCCCCAGAGUCAGACAUGACUGGAUUUAACGUCAGGGGAAACCUUUACCCUUUACCUAAAGUAUAUUAUUAUUAUUAGACUGGGGUAUGUGUGGUCAAUCAGAUGCUGUUGGACUGCAAUUACCACCAGCCCUAGUUACCUCAAUGGUGAGAAAUGUUGGGUUUCCAUGUCAACAACCUCUGAGGUGGAUCUAUUCCCUAUCUUUGGGUCUCUGGUUUUCUCAGCUCUGCUGAAGAUACUGGAGAUGGUGCCUGGGUGUUUCUGCAUGCAAAGCAGGUGCUUGAAGCUCUGUAGACAAAGCUGGUGUUAUGGAGUUAUGAUUCUUCCCAAGAGAAAGUGCUUAGUUUUCAAACUACUAAAAAGAGCUUGUAGUUUUUUUUAAGGAUGAGAGAAACAGUGCCAGACAAAGAAACCAACAUACGGAAGCCUUUUCCUCAUUGCCAUCACUCAACAGCUCAUUAAGCUUUCCCUCACUGGGGUGGCUGAGCUCCGGAUGUGGGCCACUGUUUGAGGUUUUGACGAGAAAAGUAAAAAAAACCAACUGAGAUGAAUAUAAAAGUUUCCUCUUGAAAACAGAUCAGCUUCCUCCAUUCUCUACUGACGCAGAUAUGGCGAGGCUAGGAAGGGGGGGGGGAGGGAUGGGCCAGGGCACUGCUGACUAGUGACCUGCUGAGUUGCCAGAAUGGAUCGGUCCUCUUUAUGGAGCAAUGCCAGCUCUGCCGGUGGGUUUUCCUAGGACCCUGCAUGCUCUUCUAAGAAUUAGGUUCUCAACAGAGAUGGACAAGGUCACCUCGUGGCUUGGCCAGUCUUCUUGGGAAAGACGCAAUGCAUGGGCUAAGCACAACUCCAAAUGGCCAGCUGUCAAAGAGGGGAUACCUGAUGUUCCAGAGGAUGUACUUGAUCUGAAGAGCCCAAGUUUGGAUAAUGAUUUCCUCCAAGGUGGGAUAAUUGCAUGCUAACAUAGAUUUAUACUCACUUGCUGUCCUUCUUAAUAAUACCUCUGCCCUUACAACUCAGAAAGCAAACCAUUACAGUGAAAAGAUCUUCCAAAGUAGUUACAUUAUAGCUGCAGUUUUUCCAAAUACCUUUCUACUUUCUCACUAGCUCCUCAAAUGGCUAUAGGGAGGGGGAGUCCAAUUAGAUGUUGAGAAGAAUUUGCAUUAAAAGUCCUUUACCUCUCCUAGGGAUGCAUGACUCUACAAAGAGACAUGUAAAUGAUAUCUUUGCCUUCUGACAACCAAUCACAAUAUAGAGCAUGCUGAACUUUAAAUACAACAUUGAGGAAAAUCACCUCCUGCCACAAACAGAAAUAUUUCACCAUUUGAGGAAGCAUCUUUUCCAAACAAAUGCUAAGCUUAUAAUCUUAUCUUGAAACUUAUUUAUGAAAGACAGAAUGCUAAAUGUUGUUUUUCAGUGGUAUAAAAAUAGCCAGGUAGUGAAAACCAUGCAUCCUACUCCUUUAAAAGUAACUAAAAUCCCUGCAAAAAG